AUUUUUUUUUGACGUUUCUAGUGUGAUGACUGGUAUUCCUGUCACUGUGUGGCAUGUGCCCCACACACCUUGUAAUCACACCGGCACAGGACCCAUCUGAUA